UACGGGAGGCAGCAGUGGGGAAUAUUGCACAAUGGGCGCAAGCCUGAUGCAGCCAUGCCGCGUGUAUGAAGAAGGCCUUCGGGUUGUAAAGUACUUUCAGUCGUGAGGAAGGUGUUAAGGUUAAUAACCUUAGCAAUUGACGUUAGCGACAGAAGAAGCACCGGCUAACUCCGUGCCAGCAGCCGCGGUAAUACGGAGGGUGCGAGCGUUAAUCGGAAUUACUGGGCGUAAAGGGCACGCAGGCGGUUAAUUAAGUUGGAUGUGAAAUCCCCGGGCUUAACCUGGGAAUGGCAUUCAAGACUGGUUAGCUAGAGUCUUGUAGAGGGGGUAGAAUUCCAUGUGUAGCGGUGAAAUGCGUAGAGAUGUGGAGGAAUACCGGUGGCGAAGGCGGCCCCUGGACAAAGACUGACGCUCAUGUGCGAAAGCGUGGGGAGCAAACAGGGAUUUAGAU
rnacentral:rRNA from 1 species